rnacentral:lncRNA from 1 species
ACACUUCCCUAAAAGCAGUAUGUGGGUCAAUUUGUUCUGACCUCCCUCAAUCAAGACUAUACUUUGACCUAAAGUGGCCAAAAAAUAGUUUGCAAACAAGUUAGUUUGGGAUUAUUUGUAUGUGAAUUUCUUCUUCUUAGUCAUGCAAAAUAUUUUUGUUUCAUUGUUCUCAUCCUUUAUAUUUUAUUGGAAUGCUAUUUCUGUUGCAUAUUUCACAUGCAUUUUCAUUGAGGAAAGCCAGUUUCUGUAAUCUUGUAAAAAUGUUUUGUCCCACUGUAUAAAACUAGGAACUAGUUACUUAUGCUGGAGCAUGAUGGAGGAUAAUGUGAGAAAAAGAAUGUCUCUAUGUAUGUGUGACUGGUUCACUUUGCUGUACAGUAGACAAUUGACAGAACACUGUAAACCAGCUAUAAUGGAAAAAAAAUCAUUUUAAAAAUAAAAAUAAAAACUAUUUUUAAAAAUGACUUUGAUUUUUUGUAAUGUUAAGAGCAGUGAACAAUAGUUCAUAGUGUAUAGUGACUGAAAAUUCAAAAUUAAUAUUAUUUCACUCCAAGACUACAGCUCACUUUUUCAGGAUCUUUUGUGGCUUUACAGAAUUCUUUCAGUGCAUCUUUUACCUUGUCUAAACCAAAUCUAUUAGUUUAACAGCAUUUCAUCAGCAAUGCCAUUGAGCAGAUGAAAGUGCUUUUAAUGUGAAAUCUGAUAUAUUUCUCCAGAUGUUCUAUCUUUGAACAGCUCCAUAAAAUGGUGUACAUAAUCUUUUUUGUUCUUAAAAAAAAAAAAAAAUGACGUCGCUAGAGGCACAGUUGUAACUAUGUUGUCUUGUUACAAAUUCAAACCUAUGUGCUGUAUAUGGCACAAAAAUAUGCUCCUGACUUUGCAGCUGAAAGUGCCACUGUCAUAGGCUUGAUCUCUUUUCUUUUCCCUACAUGCCUCUGAUAGGGAUAAAGUAGGACAGUAACACAGGUAGUUGCAGACGUCUCGGUAGGGGACCAUAGAUGGAGAGGGAACCCUAGGGAACUUCAGGAGACCACUCUAAGUUAAUGACCGUUCAAGGAAGCUACUGAACAUCAUGGAAUGAAGCAGGCUUGCUUAACUAAAAAACCAUAAAUAAAAGCACGAGAUACACCUCAGGUCAUUAAGCGAAAGAUAAAAUGAGGCCCGGAUUCAAGUUCAGCAAAACAGUAAUUCUUAGGACAGGAAUAUAAGGGAAGAUGACAUUUCAAAGUAGGAGACCUUUAGUAUGUGGAAACGUGAGAUGAUUCAAUAUAUUUUUGAAUAUGCUACCCUUCUGCUGAUUUGGAGAAGCACCAUGACAGUCCUAGUUUGACCUCAUAGGGUCAAAUAUUCUUACCCAAAACAAAGGAGGAUCUAGGGAUAUAAGCCUGAUGUCUACCCAACAAAUGAGGAAGAAGGAGGUCUUUCUCCCCUCCCCACUUUCCUUGGAUCAUAAAAACGUAGCCUACCUAAUCCUCAGGGCAGAGCCUUCUUGCCUGCCUGCUUGUAUUCCUCACAAGUGUCCUAUCUUAAUAAAUCUAUUUCUUACCUAUCACUUUGUCUCUCACUGAAUUCCAUCUGUGCUGAGACACAGAGAACCUGAGCCUCAGUAGUCCAGACACCAGGUGAGUGAUUCUAAUUAAAAAAAAAAAAAAAAACAAAAAACAAAAAAAACAAACGUAGGUUCUGGCACAUGGGUUCAAGUCCCAAUCUGGGUUUCGGCUGGAUUCGAGUCAGAGGUGUUUCUGUUCCACCUCUACAGCUCAAGCUUCCCCAGUUCCAAGUAGGGUUCAUCCCAGGUACCACUGGCAGCGUAAUCCACACACCUUCAUUGCACUUGAAUGCAGUAGCCUUUGGUUUCAAGGUCAUGGGUGAGAGGGAAGGAGAAAUGUCCCACUGAGGUCAGUCCCAGAGUGAUGUUUAGGAUUACAGGUUGCACUGAGCCAGCACUGGGCAUCAGAUUUCAAGAGACAGAGAUGCAGAGGGUUCUUUCAUAAAUGUAUGUACAGUUAUGACAUUCAAAGCCCAGCAAAGUGUAGGGCUGGGGGCAGAAGCAUGUUUAACCUAAUGUAAGUUGGCAAAGGUCAGGGCUAACUCUUGGCCAACAUUUGAUAGACAAUUUCUCUUCAGUCUCUUGGGCCCUCCAUCUCCAUGCAUCCAAAUGCUCAUUUCUCAAGUUUAGGCAAGAAUGGACCCUCUUCCAUGAAGUCCUCCCUGAUACUGCCCUCAUUCUGCCCAUCUUAUUCCAGCGAAAAGAACACUCUCCUAUCUCUGAUCCUGAAAACACUUGCUGUGCUUGUCUCUUGGGACCCCACAGGCUAGAGGCACUGCACAGUGUACUGUGACAUGCUUAGUAGUUAAAAGCUUGGGACCUGGAUCCAGACUCACUGGACUUUGAAUCCUAGCUCCCCUCCUUACCCUCUUUGAGACCUGUGUGCCUCGGCACCUUCAUCUGCAAAUGAAGAUAAAUAAUCGCACGGACCUCCUACAGGUUAUCAUGGGCUUUAAAUGAAUAAAGCAUUCAAAGUGCUGAUCCUGCCGCCUUACAUGGAGAAAGUGCAAGAGUGCUGGUGGUGAUUAGACUCCCGACACUCUCCUUCACACUUCAGUUCACUGUGUGAAUGUUUUAUCCUUCCUAUGACCUCAUGUGUUCCUUUACAUCGUGGCCUUGACAGAUGUACAAAGAGUCUUGAGACAAGUGUUCAAAAAGUGUUUCUCAGAAUUCCCGUCAUGGCUCAGCGGUAACUAACCUGACUAGGAACCAUGAAGAUGUGGGUUCUAUCCCUGGCCUCGCUCAGUGGGUUAAGGAUCUGGUGUUGCUGUGAGCUGUGGUUCCAAUGGUUCUCAAAGCAUGUUCCAUGAGAGGGUCACGAGUACUGCAGGGAAAACUAAGGUCAUGGCCAUCUGCGAGACUCCUCAGGGCACUGCAGAUCUUCAAGACACAGUCCCCAAAUUUAUUUGACCGUGGACAAUUCUUUUCAUUGUGCAUCUCUCUAGACUAAUAGUGCUGCAGUGACAUUAGCCCCAAUGGAUGAGAUCCUUGGAGGUGGUAACCCACAGUUGAGAAACAUUUUAUAAAGCAAUCAGGCUCCUCAAAGUACAGCAGUAGGAAAGGACCUAGAAUGAGGAUAUGAGAGCUGGAAGAGACCUCAGGAUAAUUGUCUACCUUGAAGAUGAGGAACCUGAGGUCCCAAAGACUCAAGGGCUGCCCAGGGUACAGCAGUGGGCGAACCACUAAUGCCCCAGGACUCACCUGUGUGGGUGGUCUUUAGGAAAGCUGGUGCUGUGUAACAUGUGAGGAGGCUACAGGAACCUGUGCUGGUCCUAAACACAUCCUUCUACGGAUCUUCCUACUGUUAUCCUUUGAGUGUGAGAGGCCCCCAGGUGCCUUUAGCCUGGGGACUUCUCUGCCACUAUACUGGGCCUCUCUUAAUAUCAGGCUCUGCUCAAUGUUACUGACCCAAAGUUCCCCAAAUUCUUAGUGACCAAAUUCUUAAGCCUAGUUUUGGAAUCCGGUCUGGCUGAUCAGUUUAUUGUACUGUAACAGCAAAAGCCUGGCCUUUGGAAGUGGGUUCAAAUUCCAGCUGUCGCUUACCAACUGGGAAAAUAAACACCCUGUAUAGCUUCUCUUUCAAAGGUGGCAUAUAACACAAAGUGAUCAUGGUUGAGUCAAAGGAAUGAAUGAAUGGGAUUUAGC